UACGUAGGGCGCAAGCGUUGUCCGGAAUUAUUGGGCGUAAAGAGCUCGUAGGCGGUUUGUCGCGUCUGCUGUGAAAACCUGAGGCUCGACCUCGGGCUUGCAGUGGGUACGGGCAGACUAGAGUGCGGUAGGGGUGACUGGAAUUCCUGGUGUAGCGGUGGAAUGCGCAGAUAUCAGGAGGAACACCGAUGGCGAAGGCAGAUCACUGGGCCGCAACUGACGCUGAGGAGCGAAAGCAUGGGGAGCGAACAGG
rnacentral:rRNA from 1 species